AUAUUAUAUCAACCUCUUCAAUCCCUUGGCUUGUUGAGUGUUGGAUUUAUGGGGGUUUGCUGGUUUCUCUUUCUUGAGGUCAGCUCCCCUGAAAUGCAUUAGCUGAACAAUUUGUAGACUUGUUCAUUGGUGUGAUAAAUUUUAUCUACGCUACUGACAACAAAAGCAAGCUCAGCUUCUAAUAGUCUAUUAACUUGGACAAUAUUCAUAUCAAA
rnacentral:misc_RNA from 1 species